rnacentral:rRNA from 1 species
GGCGCGGGCCGCUGCGUCCGCCUUCGGGUGUGACGCGUCGACCGCGCCAUCCUUGCGGCCAAGGCGUCGUCGUUAACUCGGCGGCGUCCCCAGCCGCAUCCUUUACUGUGAAAAAAUUAGAGUGUUUAAAGCAGGCCUGCCGCUUGAAUACAUUAGCAUGGAAUAAUAAGAUAGGACUUCGGUGCUAUUUUGUUGGUUGCGUACCGAGGUA